rnacentral:rRNA from 1 species
UACGUAGGGGCAAGCGUUGUCCGGAUUAUUGGGCGUAAAGGAGCUCGUAGGCGGUUCCGUAAGUCGUGAAGUCAAAUCUCUGGGCUCAACCCAGAAUCGCUUCCGAUACUGCGGUGACUGGAGUCCGGUAGGGGAGUGUGGAAUUCCUGGUGUAGCGGUGAAAUGCGCAGAUAUCAGGAGGAACACCAACAGCGAAGGCAGCACUCUGGGCCGGUACUGACGCUGAGGAGCGAAAGCAUGGGGAGCGAACGG